rnacentral:rRNA from 1 species
AACGAACGCUGGCGGCAUGCCUAACACAUGCCAGUCGAACGAGACCUUCGGGUCUAGUGGCGCACGGGUGCGUAACGCGUGGGAACCUGCCCUUAGGUUCGGAAUAACUCCCCGAAAGGGGUGCUAAUACCGGAUAAUGUCUUCGGACCAAAGAUUUAUCGCCUUUGGAUGGGCCCGCGUUGGAUUAGCUAGUUGGUAGGGUAAAAGCCUACCAAGGCGACGAUCCAUAGCUGGUCUGAGAGGAUGAUCAGACACACUGGGACUGAGACACGGCCCAGACUCCUACGGGAGGCAGCAGUGGGGAAUAUUGGACAAUGGGCGAAAGCCUGUUCCAGCAAUGCCGCGUGAGUGAUGAAGGCCUUAGGGUUGUAAAGCUCUUUUACCCGGGAUGAUAAUGACAGUACCGGGAGAAUAAGCUCCGGCUAACUCCGUG